rnacentral:rRNA from 1 species
AAAGCGUGCGCAGGCGGCUUUGCAAGACAGAUGUGAAAUCCCCGGGCUCAACCUGGGAACUGCAUUUGUGACUGCAAGGCUAGAGUACGGUAGAGGGGGAUGGAAUUCCGCGUGUAGCAGUGAAAUGCGUAGAUAUGCGGAGGAACACCAAUGGCGAAGGCAGCCCCCUGGGUCAAAACUGACGCUCAUGCACGAAAGCGUGGGGAGCAAACAGGAUUAGAUACCCGUGU